CGUUCGCAUGUCCACAAUCUGGAUAUCGGGUAUUUAAGAGUCGGGGAACUCCACUAUAGCAUUCUCCCUUAUUUAUUAUAAUAACGUUGGGUAGCAGAAGAAAUUAGCAAAGCAAUAAAAUAUAUACAUAUAUCUAUGUAUAAUCUUAUAAAUAAUCAGUAUGAACAUCCGAGUCCAUGCGGCCAUGUUCGUGCUGAUGUAUUUCCGUCUGUCUCCGGAACUAAAAGAGUUUGUUUUAGAAGAUUUCCACUACCACUAUAUCACCUACAAUUCUAUCAAUAAUCCAAAAACUUGUCGGUCACGCCCAAUUUAACGCUUUCGAAUCGAAAUAAAAGCAAAAGUGUUUUCUGCCUCAGCACCAAUAUCUAAUUUCUUUUAAAUUAAUGUGCUAGUUUUUCGUUGAAAAUUCCUAUAACAGCUUUAUGAAAUCGUGGACCACUUCUGAUCAAGGUAAAUAAGAAGUUAAAUAUUGUCAAAAAACGUAAGUAUACCUAGCUAGAACAUCGAAAAUAGGGUUUCAGAGAAGAAACCGAUGGAGUACACAUGGACGUGGUUUUAACCACUAGGCUAUUGAUGUAUAUACUUUAUAUGGCCAUAAUGGCCUAUUUUAUGUAUGCUCUCUGUAAGGAUUUACAUAUCUAGGAAAAUACAAGUUAAAACUUACUUAUUUCUGAUAAGCAUUUUAUCAAAUAAUACCGUUUAACUUACUUUAGUUGAGUCCUCUUGCAUUUUUGUAUGCUCUGCAAUAAAGCGCACACAAAAACAGCUUUUGUGAAUUUUAGGAAGGCAUUUAGAGUGGGAAAAUGCUGGAUUAUUUAAAAUGGGACUUUUCAUCCCUAAGGGUCCGAUAUCCAUAUCGGGGACGGCGGCUAUUUCGUCUGAACUACAAUGGGUGAGUGGCGGCACUGGGCCAUGAACCUGACAACUUCCUCCAAAUGGUCCAUUCGCCGUAAUGCUAAAGUAAAAGAUAUUUUGAUAACAUUAUACAAAAUACGAACUAUAGAGCCGGAACUGGCACGUGACUAUAGGAAAUUGACCCACUUUUUCUGGUCUAAAUUAAUAACUGCAGAACGAAGUUCAUUGGGUUACACUAGACCAUACCUUUUAUGAUACUAAAAAUUGUGGGCGUGGCACCGAUCGUUAUAUAUUUUUUAGUUGGUAACUCCAGAGCGCAGAAAGAUAUUUAGUUUACUUACACUAGACCAUAUCUAUGAAAAUCCCAAAAACUGAGGGCGCCCAUUAUAUUUAAUUAAGUAAUUUUCGUAUAGAGAAUUCUAUAAUUUCGCAUGCUUCUUCUAUUCCAAUAUUCUAUUAUAUUAAGUAAAAAAAUCAUUUAGUUAUUGUAUAUUGAUAAUAAUAUAUAUAAUAAUAUAUAUUUUCAAAUAAUAACAACAAAAUAAUAAUAAAAAUAAUAAAAAAAAUAUAGCAACCGCCUUUUAGCAUAAGAUUACUCUGAAUAUGAAAUGGUAGGGUUAGGUCCUAAAAGCUAAAAUUCAUUUGAAAUUACAAUUAUCUAAGCAAGAAUUAAAUAAGCUACAACAUGAGGUACAUUUAAUUGACGGUCUAGACUUUAAAUUCCGUAUGAAAGUUUAGUCAUUAUCAAAAAUUAUUUUUCUAAUGCAACUCAUUUUUCUAGUAAAUUUUUGGUACAACACGGUUUUUUUUUUGCUUUAAUAAAAGCCCCACUGAUUAAAGUACCAUUUGUAGGGGUAUUAUAUAUCCUCUUAAUUAACUAAAACACACAAAGGCAGGAGUUGGACUCUUUGAUUUAUUUGUUACUUUCCGUGUUCAGCUUUAGCAUUCGACUGACUCCCUCUCCGUUUGCGAUCUGCCUCUAUGCUUGUUGCUACAGGGCCGAUGUUGCGAAACAGAGAGAAUGCCACCCGAAAGCGAACAAGUACUUAAUGUUUAUAUACUAUGUUGCUAUUAUGAACUGAACUUAUGUAUGUGUACCUCUAGCCUACUACAAUUCGACCAUCCUGACAUUUAAGAUCACCUGAUCUUGUCGAAAUUUCCAACUUAUAACUAUUACAUUGUUCUUAGCCGCUAUUUGUUACAUUUUUUUACUUUUCUUAUCUUUAAUUAUACAAAUUUACUUUCUACUCCCUAUCCAAUGUUUAAUAUUUUGACUACUCCAGACACCUUGAUAUGGAUUUCGCGCCAAUUGAAAACCUUCAACAUCUUUAAUUAAAAACCUAUCAUUUUUCAAUACCUUCUCUAUUUCAUAUGGACCCUUAUGUUUAGGUAUUAGCUUUCUAGCAACUCCUCCUGUACUAUCGAAAUUCUUAAC
rnacentral:lncRNA from 1 species